GAACUCACGGACCGUGAGAUCGUGACCUGGCUGAAGUCGGACGCUUAACCGACUGCACCACCCAGGCGCCCCUUUAUCUGUUUCAUUUUUAUCUUUGUAGCUACACAUAUCCUUUUGGUUUUAUGGCAUAAUGUUAAGCCCUUCCUGAUAGGUGUGUGAUACCCUCAGCCUCGUCCCCCUCCACCUCCGUGAUGAACUGGAAAUCCCAUGUUUGAGGUCAUCUCUGCCCAGGUCAGAUGCGAGUGAGAGGCUGUGUUCCCAAUGCCCUGCAGGUCGGGCCACAGGUAGCUAGUGGCUAUUAUAUGGGAUGGCACAGCCUGGAGAGACCCUAAUUAGACUUUAGGAUUAAAGUUUUUCCCACAGAAAUAUUCCCAAGUGAUGUUCUCUGGUGGUAACUAAUAUGAUUAUGAACUCAAUGUCACAGAACUUGAAGGAGUAGCUGAGCUUUAUUUGUAAAAUUGCUCCUAAGAAACAAAAGAUGCAAACUUUCCAAAGACUUAAAAAGAUCUUCUAGAUAAGGCGUGUUGGUCAAGUAGGAAUUUUAUGUGGAAUUUUCCUAAUAUACUUAUCUUCCAGUAAUUUGGAAAUAAGGAAAUGAGAUUUAUGUGGAUCAGACCAGAGAUUAAAAGGCCAGUAUGUCCCAAACCAGAUUUGGCCGUAUUCAUGAACAUAGCUUAACUUGUCCAUAAUGGAGCUGCUCAUUCCUUGCCCUGAAGUCUGUCCCUUCCCCACUCUUCCUCUUUCAUAAAUGGCAUCCUGCCACCCGGUGGCUCCAGCCAGAAACCCAGGUGGCCUCCUUGGGUCUACACUGGCUCUUCCCUAGUUUCCAAAUCACCACCCAGUUCCACAUCCCAUCCAAUACAAUUUACUUCUCUAAAUACCCCAGAAAAGUUCAUGUCUAGCCAUCACUGCAGUCCUGCCCCAGCCUAAGCUAUUUAAAUGUACUUUAACAUUAAAUAAAAGUAGGGACACCUGGCUGGAUCCACGGGUAGAGCAUGUGACUCUUGAUCUCAGGACCAUGACUUCUAGCCCCACAUGAGCGUCGAGGUUACUUUUUAAAAAAAAUUAAAAGUGAAUGCUUUUCCCUCACCUGCACUAGCCCCAUUUCAAGUGCUCGGUAUUGGGAAGGGCAGAUACAGAACAUUCCCAUCAUCACAGAAAGUUCUAUUGGGUGGUGCUGUCACCCUAAAGAGAGGAACAGCCCCUCCACAUUUCUGUGGGACAGUAAUUACAGUGGGAGUCCCUGUGGUUUGAAACGAGUUCAGGCAUACACCGCCUAUUCCCCUUCCCUCUUCCAGCUACUGGCAGAGUCCUGGUGUCUACCAGGCGCCAUGAUGACCUGCAGGACUGGGCCGAACUGUCCAACUGCUGUGGAGUUUCCCUUGUUGGCCAUCGCUUCUCCAUUCUCAGUGCCAAGGUUUGCCGCCAUCUUUCCUGGGGGGACUCAAACCAGAUGCUUCCCUCUGCAGGAAACACUCGUACGUAACAACAGUCCUGAUGCUGCUGCGCGGCCAGUGCGGAGUGUAAAGGAGCCAUUCUUUUCUCUCUCAAAAUCUCGAUGCAAGUACGUUUGAAGAAGGCACACGUACGUUUACGCACUGAGGAAACGCCACAAACCCAGCCCACCUUUAUAGCCACCAUCGAGAUGAAGAAGCAGCACGUUACCAGCACCCCCCAGAAAUUUACAUCCAUCUACGUAUACAGGCAUCCGUGAAUAUAGGUCAUAAAUUCUAUAGAAAUGUAACGAAGGCUACAAGCAGUUCUUUAAUGCCAUUUCAUCACACUAUUGACCCAAGUCAGUUAAAACCUUCUGACCUAAGGCUUCCUUCCCUAGCUGUGAACUACGUUUGUUUGAUAAAGCCUUUUUUAUAGCCUUUACAAAGGCUUUAUGAAGCCAUUUGCUCUUCUCCAUAAUGCAUCAUCUUAUUAACAUCGGUCCAUUCUUCCUUACAGAUGUUUUCAUUUUUUUCGAUACAUGGCAGAGUCUGGCUGGCACCCAGUGCGUUACCUACCUACCCUUCCAGUUUUGUGUCAGCAAUAAAUGAUUUCUUAGUGGGAUGAGUCCAAUAAGAAAAAGCGUAUAUUCUCUCAGGCUUAUUCCAGACCUUAUGCCUC